AAUAGAUACCCUGGUAGUCCACGCCCUAAGCUAUGUCGACUAGUUGUUGGGGGAGUCUGUCCCUCAGUAACGUAGCUAACGCGUGAAGUCGACCGCCUGGGGAGUACGGUCGCAAGAUUAAAACUCAAAGGAAUUGACGGGGACCCGCACAAGCGGUGGAUUAUGUGGAUUAAUUCGAUGCAACGCGAAGAACCUUACCUACCCUUGACAUGCCAGGAACCUCGCAGAGAUGUGAGGGUGCCCGAAAGGGAACCUGGACACAGGUGCUGCAUGGCUGUCGUCAGCUCGUGUCGUGAGAUGUUGGGUUAAGUCCCGCAACGAGCGCAACCCUUGCCAUUAGUUGCUACAUUCAGUUGGGCACUCUAAUGGGACUGCCGGUGACAAACCGGAGGAAGGUGGGGAUGACGUCAAGUCCUCAUGGCCCUUAUGGGUAGGGCUUCACACGUAAUACAAUGGCGCAUACAGAGGGCUGCAAACCCGGCGAGGGGGAGCCAAUCCCAAAAAGUGCGUCGUAGUCCGGAUUGUUCU
rnacentral:rRNA from 1 species